UAUCCGUUGGUGAACCAGCGGAGGGAUCAUUACUGGAAUCGCAAGAUCCCACAACCCUGUGAACCUACCGAAACGUUGCCUCGGCGGGUGCCUGGCCCCCGCCCCGGGCGCUGCGCCCGCCGGCGGCCCCCUACUCUGCCUCUGCAGCGUGGCAUCUCAGAGUCCCAGAAAACAAGUCAAAACUUUCAACAACGGAUCUCUUGGCUCUA
rnacentral:misc_RNA from 1 species